GGCCGGGCGCGGUGGCUCACGCCUGUAAUCCCAGCUCUCAGGGAGGCUAAGAGGCGGGAGGAUAGCUUGAGCCCAGGAGUUCGAGACCUGCCUGGGCAAUAUAGCGAGACCCCGUUCUCCAGAAAAAGGAAAAAAAAAAAAAAAAAAAAAGACAAAAAAAAAAUAAGCGUAACUUCCCUCAAAGCAACAACCCCCCCCCCCCUUU
rnacentral:scRNA from 1 species